AGCAGCCGCGGUAAUUCCAGCUCCAAUAGCGUAUAUUAAAGUUGUUGCAGUUAAAAAGCUCGUAGUUGAAUUUCGGGAUUGACACAUCGGUCGUGCCUUAAGGGGUAUGAACUGGUGUAGUCAAUUUCUCACCUUCUGGAGAACCGCGAUGCCCUUAAUUGGGUGUCGCGGGGAACCAGGACCUUUACUUUGAAAAAUUAGAGUGUUUAAAGCAGGCAUUUUGCUUGAAUACAUUAGCAUGGAAUAAUAAAAUAGGACGGCAUGAUUCUAUUUUGUUGGUUUCUAGGAUCACCGUAAUGAUUAAUAGGGAUAGUUGGGGGCAUUAGUAUUCAAUUGUCAGAGGUGAAAUUCUUGGAUUUAUUGAAGACUAACUACUGCGAAAGCAUUUGCCAAGGAUGUUUUCAUUAAUCAAGAACGAAAGUUAGGGGAUCGAAGACGAUCAGAUACCGU
rnacentral:rRNA from 2 species